rnacentral:rRNA from 1 species
AAACUAACAAGGAUUCCCUUAGUAACGGCGAGUGAACCGGGAAGAGCUCAAAUUUGAAAUCUGGCGUCCUCCGGGCGUCCGAGUUGUAAUCUAUAGAAGCGUUUUCCGCGCCGGACCGUGUAUAAGUCUCCUGGAACGGAGUAUCAAAGAGGGUGACAAUCCCGUGCUUUACACGACGACCGGUGCUAUGUGAUACGUUCUCUACGAGUCGAGUUGUUUGGGAAUGCAGCUCAAAACGGGUGGUAAACUCCAUCUAAAGCUAAAUAUUGGUGGGAGACCGAUAGCGAACAAGUACCGUGAGGGAAAGAUGAAAAGCACUUUGGAAAGAGAGUUAAACAGUAUGUGAAAUUGUUGAAAGGGAAACGAUUGAAGUCAGUCGUGUCCAUUGGGUUCAGCCGGUCCUGCCGGUCUACUCCCUUUGGACGGGUCAACAUCAGUUCUGACCGGCGGAUAAUGGCACGAGGAACGUGGCACCCUCCGGGGUGUGUUAUAGCCUCGCGUCGCAUACGCUGGUCGGGACUGAGGAACGCAGCUCGCCUUCAUGGCCGGGGUACGCCCACGUACGAGCUUAGGAUGUUGACAUAAUGGCUUUAAACGAC